rnacentral:rRNA from 1 species
AUACAGAGGGUGCGAGCGUUAAUCGGAAUUACUGGGCGUAAAGCGCGCGUAGGCGGCUUAUUAAGUCAGAUGUGAAAUCCCCGGGCUCAACCUGGGAACUGCAUCUGAUACUGGUAAGCUAGAGUUUUGGAGAGGGAAGUAGAAUUUCAGGUGUAGCGGUGAAAUGCAUAGAGAUCUGAAGGAAUACCAGUGGCGAAGGCGACUUCCUGGCCAAAAACUGACGCUGAGGUGCGAAAGCGUGGGUAGCAAACGGGAUUAGAAACCCCGGUAGUCC